UGAGUACCAGUCAGUUCAGGGUGCUCUGUUUUAUUUCUUUGGGAUUGUAUGGAGAGGAAACUGUUAUACACAAAGGUCUUGGCCUUCAGAAGCAAGGCAGUAUGCUGGAUAGUGAGGCAUGGAGCAAGCUAGGACUCCUGAAGAAGAGCGUGGAUUCAGUCAUCAGAGACUGAAUUUAGAGGUGUUUCUUCCUCAUUAAGAAAUUAAAGUGCUGGACAGUGCA